rnacentral:rRNA from 1 species
UACGUAGGUGGCAAGCGUUGUCCGGAUUUACUGGGUGUAAAGGGCGUGCAGGCGGUUUGUCUAGUCUAGGGUGAAAGCUCCCGGCUUAACUGGGAGAGGUCCUUGGAUACUGGCAAACUUGAGGGAGGCAGAGGAAAGUGGAAUUCCCGGUGUAGUGGUGAUAUGCGUAGAUAUCGGGAGGAACACCAGUGGCGAAGGCGGCUUUCUGGGCCUUACCUGACGCUGAGACGCGAAAGCGUGGGGAGCGAACCGG